AGUCGUUUUACAGAUUCCCUAAAAACAAACAAGUAUGCACUCAGUGGAUUGUUAAAAGCAGAAGGUCCGACUUAGACAAUAUUUUAAGAACAAAAGGGCCAGAAUAUUUAAAUAGAAACUACGUCAUGUGUUCUGACCAUUUUACGAAAAAAGAUGGGGAAUUUUCACAUAGGGAAAUG